CUGUAGACAGCCACCUGUUCAUACCUGUCUGCCUCUAUAGGGGGGCCAAAUGGAGCGUUGGAGGUUGAGCUUACAGGCCAGCAUGUUUCAGUUCAUGCUGUUCACUACUCUUCUGCUGGAUUUAUCCGCAGUGUCCAACACAGCUGUUCUAGUACGGGAUGGAUCCUCUGUGACUCUGCUCUGCAAAAACUCUAGCAUGAGUAAUGCUUGCUGGAGCAGAACAUGUAAUGGGUUUUGGUGCGUUGAACCAAUAGUGGAGGUAUCCGGACCUGACAUUUUUGGCCCGACACACCCCGACAAAUACAGCCUCAGAGGAGACCUGAGCAUUGGAGAGCUAGACCUCACCCUUUCAAAUGUGAAGCCAGCAGACGAUGGGACAUACUGCUGCAUGACCAGUGCAUCACCAAACUCAAUGACCUACCAUCUGAAAAUAGUUAAUGGCAAGUGGUUUUAAGUCAAUGUCCUUAAAUCCUGGCCCAGGGAAAGUACUCCCUUUCUAAGUAUGUGUUUGCCUUUAUUGUUGCUUGUGUCACUGAUCGUUGUAACAAACAGUAUAUUUACUAUCAACUCACUGUGAUACUAGACUUUUGUCCAACAGCAGCAAAUGUCAGAUUUUGGAAUGUCGAAUCAUCACUAGAAUUGACUUGCCUGGUCAAAAUAAUGACAAUAGCUCAUCACAAUAAUGACUUCAAUGAAGCAAUAACACAGAUUUGGUUAAGUUUAGGCAAGGACACAACUUGGUCAGUGUCGGGGCUAUUGUUAAUUAAGGGAGAAGUUACACGACCAUUAGACCUGAUCACGUGCUAACACCUGCUCAGCAGCCCUCUGGUGGACGAACUGUCAUACUGCCUCCCGACGUAUAACCACCUUGGUCAGACGUCCAAUAGCGCAGUCUGAGGCAUGCGAUCUGGCUGACUUGCCUGAACUGUUUUAUUUUGUCUUUUUCACACAGGUUGUGUGAGGGAGCUCCUGAAAUAUGUUUUUUUCAUUUAUAAUGACAUUAAGCACUUUGCAAGCCCAAAUGCAAACCAAUGUCAACAGAACUGCACCCAACUUGAUGCCUGUCAGUAUUUCACAUAUAUUCACAGUCGACAGGAGUGCUAUCUGAAGGGCUCAGCUGGUGGCAGGGCAAUGAAUGUGAUACACUUAGAAGACAGAGUUUCAGGCUACACCCUUAAAGACUGCAAGGAAAAAGGAAAGAAAAGUGUAAGCAUGGUGAAGAUGUUUCUGAAAGUACCUCCAGGAGUUGACCUUAAUGACCCUCUGGUGAAAGAGCAAAUUCUCACAAAGAUACAGGCAGAGAUCGCCCAGACAGAUGGAGGUGCAUCUGUGCGAUGGAAGGAGCAGUCGGAUGGAAAAGUCUUCCAGAAGAAAGAGAAAGAGGAGAGAAAGAAAGAACGACAGUGUGUAAAGAAGUCACAGGAAUGCUGAGUGAGACUCCUACAGGGGACAAAGUGGACUUCAUUUAUUUGAAAGAGAAAUUAAAUUGUUGACGAAGACUUUCUUCUAAUUGCUCUGCUUAAUCUGAAAUGUCACGUCAUGUUCAAAGAGUUGUAGUCGGCACAACAGGGUAUGUUGAUUUGUUAAUCAUAAUCUGUUCAUCAAAGUUGAAGUCUUCAUUCUUUUCAUGCUUUAUUUAACCAUGAUCAGUCACAUUGAGAUCUCUUUUUCAAGUGAGCCCCGGGAUUAAUGUAGCAAUGUGUAACAAAGCUAAAUAUCCCGAUUCAAUCAAAGCUACAAACCAGGCUUCUAGGGUAGGAGAACAACAACCUAUUUAUUCUAUGAUGAGAAACAAUGAUUGAUUUAAUAUGCAAUAAGUACAACUUUUUAUUUCACUAUAAACACAGAGCUUUGAAUGUGUGAAUUCAAGUAUGUUUACAGGGCAAAACAAGGGUGUCUGAACUUUAUUGAGUAUGGGCUAAGUGUGUGCUAAACAAAUGUUCUAAAGAUAAUUCUAUUUGAAAACGCAUACAAUAUCAACAUUCCAGACUAAGUUAUGUCAAACUAUUUAAACUGUUCACAUUAGAUAUGCAUAAAUGUCGCAGUGCAACAAAUAAAACUUCCACAUGGUAUUUUCUCUUCACCGAAAACAUGGUGACUCUGACCAUGUUGACCUUAUAGACCA